rnacentral:rRNA from 1 species
GAUGAACGCUGGCGGCGUGCCUAAUACAUGCAAGUCGAGCGGAAGGACGAGAAGCUUGCUUCCCUGAGGUUAGCGGCGGACGGGCGAGUAACACGUGGAUAACCUACCUAUAAGACUGGGAUAACUUCGGGGAACCGGAGCUAAUAACGGAUAAUAUUUUGAACCGCAUGGAUCAAAAGUGAAAGACGGUCUUGCUGUCACUUAUAGAUGGAUCCGCGCUGCAUUAGCUAGUUGGUAAGGUAACGGCUUACCAAGGCAACGAUGCAUAGCCGACCUGAGAGGGUGAUCGGCCACACUGGAACUGAGACACGGUCCAGACUCCUACGGGAGGCAGCAGUAGGGAAUCUUCCGCAAAGGGCGAAAGCCUGACGGAGCAACGCCGCGUGAGUGAUGAAGGUCUUCGGAUCGUAAAACUCUGUUAUUAGGGAAGAACAUAUGUGUAAGUAACUGUGCACAUCUUGACGGUACCUAAUCAGAAAGCCACGGCUAACUACGUG